AAGUAAGAAACAAAUAGUUGUAGUCAGUUUCGACCUGACCUUUUGAUAGUUAUUAUCCUUACUUA
rnacentral:tRNA from 1 species